CCUACGGGUGGCAGCAGUGGGGAAUAUUGCACAAUGGGGGAAACCCUGAUGCAGCGACGCCGCGUGAGUGAAGAAGUACUUCGGUAUGUAAAGCUCUAUCAGCAGGGAAGAAGAAAGACGGUACCUGACUAAGAAGCCCCGGCUAACUACGUGCCAGCAGCCGCGGUAAAACGUAGGGGGCAAGCGUUAUCCGGAUUUACUGGGUGUAAAGGGAGCGUAGACGGCUGUGCAAGUCUGAAGUGAAAGCCCAGGGCUCAACCCUGGGACUGCUUUGGAAACUGUGGGGCUGGAGUGCUGGAGAGGUAAGUGGAAUUCCUGGUGUAGCGGUGAAAUGCGUAGAUAUUAGGAGGAACACCAGUGGCGAAGGCGGCUUACUGGACGGUAACUGACGUUGAGGCUCGAAAGCGUGGGGAGCAAACAGGAUUAGAUACCCUUGUAGUC
rnacentral:rRNA from 1 species